GAUGAACGCUGGCGGCGUGCCUAAUACAUGCAAGUAGAACGCUGAAGGAAGGAGCUUGCUCUUUCCGGAUGAGUUGCGAACGGGUGAGUAACGCGUAGGUAACCUGCCUGGUAGCGGGGGAUAACUAUUGGAAACGAUAGCUAAUACCGCAUAACAGUAGAUGUUGCAUGAUAUCUACUUAAAGGUGCAAUUGCACCACUACCAGAUGGACCUGCGUUGUAUUAGCUAGUUGGUGAGGUAACGGCUCACCAAGGCGACGAUACAUAGCCGACCUGAGAGGGUGAUCGGCCACACUGGGACUGAGACACGGCCCAGACUCCUACGGGAGGCAGCAGUAGGGAAUCUUCGGCAAUGGACGGAAGUCUGACCGAGCAACGCCGCGUGAGUGAAGAAGGUUUUCGGAUCGUAAAGCUCUGUUGUAAGAGAAGAACGAGUGUGAGAGUGGAAAGUCCACACUGUGACGGUAUCUUACCAGAAAGGGACGGCUAACUACGUG
rnacentral:rRNA from 1 species